GACGAACGCUGGCGGCGUGCCUAAUACAUGCAAGUAGAACGCACAGUUUAUACCGUAGCUUGCUACACCAUAAACUGUGAGUUGCGAACGGGUGAGUAACGCGUAGGUAACCUGCCUGGUAGCGGGGGAUAACUAUUGGAAACGAUAGCUAAUACCGCAUAAUAUUGAUUAUUGCAUGAUAAUUGAUUGAAAGAUGCUAUUGCAUCACUACCAGAUGGACCUGCGUUGUAUUAGCUAGUAGGUGGGGUAACGGCUCACCUAGGCGACGAUACAUAGCCGACCUGAGAGGGUGAUCGGCCACACUGGGACUGAGACACGGCCCAGACUCCUACGGGAGGCAGCAGUAGGGAAUCUUCGGCAAUGGACGAAAGUCUGACCGAGCAACGCCGCGUGAGUGAAGAAGGUUUUCGGAUCGUAAAGCUCUGUUGUAAGAGAAGAACGGGUGUGAGAGUGGAAAGUUCACACUGUGACGGUAUCUUACCAGAAAGGGACGGCUAACUACGUG
rnacentral:rRNA from 1 species